CCUAACACAUGCAAGUCGAACGGACAAUUAUUUAUAGCCUCUGGCUAUAGGAAAUUGUUAGUGGCAGACGGGUGAGUAAUGCGUAGGAAUCUACCUAGUAGUACGGAAUAGCCAUUAGAAAUGGUGGGUAAUACUGUAUAAUCCCCGAGGGGGAAAGAUUUAUCGCUAUUAGAUGAGCCUACGUUAGAUUAGCUAGUUGGUGAGGUAAUGGCUUACCAAGGCUAUGAUCUAUAGCUGGUCUGAGAGGACGAUCAGCCACACUGGAACUGAGAUACGGUCCAGACUCCUACGGGAGGCAGCAGUGGGGAAUAUUGGACAAUGGGCGAAAGCCUGAUCCAGCUAUGCCGCGUGAGUGAAGAAGGCCUUCGGGUUGUAAAACUCUUUCAAUAGGGAAGAUAAUGACGGUACCUAUAGAAGA
rnacentral:rRNA from 1 species